rnacentral:misc_RNA from 1 species
CGCACAUUGCACUCCUCGGUUUACCGGGGAGUAUGCCUGUCCGAGCGUCAUUACACCUCUCAAGCCUCGCUUGGUCAUGGGCCUCGCUCCCUGGGCGUGCCUGAAAUGUAGUGAGCGGUCCCGUCGGGCCUGGAACGUAGUAAUACUCCCGUUCUGUAGGCCCCGGCGGCGGCUGGCCACAAUCCAUCUCUCACGAUUGACCUCGGAUCAGGUAGGGAUACCCGCUGAACUUAA